rnacentral:tRNA from 1 species
UGGGAUGGAGCUGAAUGGUAGAGUAUUUGCCUUUCAUGUAUGAGGCCCUGAGUGCAAUCCUCAGCACCACAG